AAAGCGGCUGCAGGGUUGUAGAGGCGAAGGUCCUUACUACUUAUCAAACCUUUAUGGCGCUAAGGUGGUCCUCUAAAAAUGCGAGUUGGAGAAAUUAGGAAGAGCCAGUGUAUGGCGUCACCAGGGGUGUUUUCAUGGAAGGGGAUUGAUCCUUAGGAGGCUAGGUGAUGACGUUUGAUUAGGAUAGUUUAUUUUGCCGAGAAUUAUGCCACGAUCGUUUGACAUCCUGAUCGUUGAAUAUGAUUGAAUAUGCUGCUGGCUACUUUUAAAAAAGGUCGUAGGGAGCCGUUAUCUAACUUCAACCACCUGAAUAUGAAAACGUACUUAGGUAACUUGCAAGAUUAAAAUUAAUUUGCUGGUGGUUCUGAACAAAUAUGUACGGCUGUUUUAUCCCAGGUCCAUUAUUUUGAAGACUGAGUUUUAUUCCUGAGGAUAAAGAAAGUGCUUGGAAAAGUCUGUUUUAUAUCGCAAAAGUGCGAAUCCCCAGACUGAUAGUAUGAAGGGCCUGUACAGUAUAGCAGACUUGGAAACACACCCAGUCAUCUUGAAGAGUCUCAAAAGGACCCUACCACUGAGAAAUCAAGAUGGCAGUCCACUAUGGGGAAUUGAGGAAAAUGGAUUAAUACAAGAGUGCUGUGAUAAAAUACCAUCAAGACAGGGUUGUUUUAACAUGGAUUCAGUGAAAUGAAUGAAACCUAUUUUAACCAACAAAUGGACAGUGGAUUUGACUUUCUAAAGACUUUUCUAAUAAUUUAAACCAGUUCAUUUUUGACAUUUGGAGAAGAUGGCACAUUAACACAGAUGGUAGUGUGUAUGCCUGAAAUAUUUUUUUUUGUACAUUUUGAUUUGUUUGAAUAUGACCUCAUGGAAUGUUAACGUUAAUAAAAU